rnacentral:tRNA from 1 species
GCGCGAGUGGCGGAAUAGGUAGACGCGCCAGCUUGAGGUGCUGGUCCACGCAAGUGGGUGGGGGUUCAAGUCCCCCUUCGCGCA